rnacentral:rRNA from 1 species
AUGUCAAGUGCUAAACAUCUUGAACUGAUAUCUGAAUUAGGAAAGUUCAUUUUCACAAGAGAUUUGAAUUGCCGCCCUACAUUUAGUAAGUUAAAGACUUUAUUGCUCAAUGAGUACUGGUGCGAGGCUCCUGACCUGGGUCCACUAGCUUGCAUUCUACAAAAUUCACCAGUUCUAGAGAAGCUCACUCUUCAACUUUUCUCCAAGGGACCAGAUCAUAAAGUGGAAAUGAAAGGAAGGUACAGUCCAAUGGAGGGUCCGUCUGCAAUAUCAGAGCACCUAAACAUGGUUGAAGUCAAGUGUAAUGUGGUCGACGAGAAGAUUCUCAAAGUCUUGAAGCUCUUGUCUGCAUUUAACAUACGUUUCGGUUUCUUGUAA